UUGUAUUUCGUUAUGGGGUUA
rnacentral:piRNA from 1 species